rnacentral:rRNA from 1 species
CAGCCGUAAACUAUGCGCGUUAGGUGUAUCGGUGACCACGAGUUACCGAGGUGCCGAAGGGAAACCGUGAAACGUGCCGCCUGGGAAGUACGGUCGCAAGGCUGAAACUUAAAGGAAUUGGCGGGGGAGCACCACAACGGGUGGGGCCUGCGGUUUAAUUGGACUCAACGCCGGGAAGCUCACCGGAUAAGACAGCGGAAUGAUUGCCGGGCUGAAGACCCUGCAUGACCAGCUGAGAGGAGGUGCAUGGCGUAGUCGUGU